rnacentral:tRNA from 1 species
UUGGAUGUAGUGUAGCUUGGUAACGCAUUUGUUUUGGGUACAAAAUGUCACGGGUUCAAAUUUUGUCAUUCCUA